rnacentral:rRNA from 1 species
UUCUAGGUUGACCUCGGAUCAGUAGAGGAACCCGCUGAACUUAAGCAUAUCAAUAAGCCGGAGGA